rnacentral:rRNA from 1 species
GACGAACCGUUGCUAACGUUAUUCGGAAUUACUGGGCUUAAAGGGUGCGUAGGCGGUGCGGAAAGUCGGGUGUGAAAUCCCCCAGCUCAACUGGGGAAUUGCGCCUGAAACUACCGUGCUCGAGGAAGACAGAGGUACGCGGAACUUAAGGGUGGAGCGGUGAAAUGCGUUGAUAUCCUAAGGAACACCGGUGGCGAAAGCGGCUCACUGGAUCUCUUCUGACGCUGAGGCACGAAAGCUAGGGAGCGAACAGG